CCUGGUGAUCCAUGCCUUUUUGUUAGCAUAAUAAUGGACUGGUAAGAAAUUCACUCCUUAAAAACAUCAGUUUACAUGUAUACAUGCCUGCUGCAUUAGCACAUCUCAGCUCAGUUGUUCUGUGCUUGGCAUCCUUAAUUCCUAUAGCGAUUGUCUCUUCAAGUGUAAUUAAUAUCUUUUUGGGGCAAUAACACCAAAAUAUUGAUGCUUCAUUAGCAUUAUAGACUUAUUCUGUCUUCAGAAUUUC